UUUAAGCCAAAGCCACACAGUUGUGACUGACUUAAAGACCAGGUGUACCAGAAAAUUCCCAACAUUGUGUAUGAUUGUAUUAAACUGUAAACUAAUGCAAAAUUAUAUUUAGCCCAUGGACCCUCAAUUAUCUUCACAUUUGCUCCAGAGCUACAUUCUCUACAUCUACAUUUAUAGUGGGAGUAAUCUCAAUAGCAAACCUCUCCAUUCUCUCACAUGAUAUAGCAG